rnacentral:rRNA from 1 species
CCUACGGGAGGCAGCAGUGGGGAAUCUUGCGCAAUGGGCGAAAGCCUGACGCAGCCAUGCCGCGUGUAUGAUGAAAGGUCUUAGGAUUGUAAAAUACUUUCACCGGUGAAGAUAAUGACUGUAGCCGGAGAAGAAGCCCCGGCUAACUUCGUGCCAGCAGCCGCGGUAAUACGAAGGGGGCUAGCGUUGCUCGGAAUUACUGGGCGUAAAGGGAGCGUAGGCGGACAUUUAAGUCAGAGGUGAAAUCCCGGAGCUUAACUUCGGAACUGCCUUUGAUACUGGGUGUCUUGAGUGUGAGAGAGGUAUGUGGAACUCCGAGUGUAGAGGUGAAAUUCGUAGAUAUUCGGAAGAACACCAGUGGCGAAGGCGACAUACUGGCUCAUUACUGACGCUGAGGCUCGAAAGCGUGGGGAGCAAACAGGAUUAGAUACCCUGGUAGUCCACGCCGUAAACGAUGAUNCUAGUGUCGGAGCUNCUCUCGUGCGCNGCUACGCAUAGUACAUCCGCCGUGGGAGGUACGGUCGGCGAGAAGUUAAACGUUAAAGGUAAAGUUAGUUACGGUCGUUGAGACGUUGCCGACGGCGACGACGAGGGAGGAGG